rnacentral:sRNA from 1 species
UUUUUUGGCUCAGAAAAAAUUUGUUACGGAACAAAAAAUUUGGCGGGAAACUUUUUUUUUGGCGGGAAAAAAGUUCGGCGGGAAAUCUUUUUUGGCGGGAAAAAAAAAUUUUGGCGCCAAUAAAUUUGGCGGGAAAAGUUCAGUUUCCAAUUACAUGUUUCUAUUAGAUGAGGGUAAUUUGGUCAUUUUGUUCAAGAGAAAGGGUAUUUUUAAAAAUGGACAACAUAAAAGGGUAGUAAAAAAAUGAUAGUUUUACAAAUCUCCCUCUAUUUUUUGACUUUCAAGACAAUUGAUAAUACAUGCAUAUUCAUUUUCACAAC